GUUAGUUAGCCGUUGCUAAGCACCGAAUUCCGAACGUGAGCUGUUGGGCAGUGACGUUACCUGCUGGUGGCGGACAGGCAUGAAGCCCAAAUUCCUUUCAUGGCAACACAGGAACUUAAGUUGGCCCACCACAGCAGCUGGAGAUGAAUCUAAAGAGAGGAACCCUGCUCAUGUUACACAGACCCUUCUGUCGAAGCAGAAUGUAUGUGACUGACUGGCAGUCAAGCAGGGAAGAAGAUAUGCAGCCACAGGCACCCUUCCCACCUGCUGCAUCGAGGAGUGAUUGGACUCACCUGUUUCUGCUUUGCCAAUCAAGCCGCCUACUUUAAGCCUGCUGAGACACUCCUCGACGCCAGAGUAAACAGAGAACCUCCGUGUGCCUCCCGUGCCCUCACAGCCCAGCACUCUCUGGACGUCUUUUGUGUUCUUUUUGAAGGACUCUAGCAAUUUUGAUUUUUUGUGGAUUCACUCACCCCUUUGUUAAAUAAAUCAUUGUUCUAACCUGCUCCGUUUCCACUCCUGGGUUCCCUCUCUGCACCACACGUCACAACAAGUGCAACUUGACAAGCUGAGCAAUGUCUCCCAAUAUUAAAGAGUGCAGCUAGUCUCAAGCCAGUUGAAUAUAAUAAUGCAUGAAUAAAAUAAAUGUGUGACUCUAGUUACCAAUCAUUCCA